CCUACGGGGGGCAGCAGUGGGGAAUAUUGGACAAUGGGGGGAACCCUGAUCCAGCCAUGCCGCGUGUGUGAAGAAGGCCCUCGGGUUGUAAAGCACUUUCAGUGAGGAAGAACGCCUGGUGGUUAAUACCCAUCAGGAAAGACAUCACUCACAGAAGAAGCACCGGCUAACUCCGUGCCAGCAGCCGCGGUAAUACGGAGGGUGCGAGCGUUAAUCGGAAUUACUGGGCGUAAAGCGCGCGUAGGUGGCUUGAUAAGCCGGUUGUGAAAGCCCCGGGCUCAACCUGGGAACGGCAUCCGGAACUGUCAAGCUAGAGUGCAGGAGAGGAAGGUAGAAUUCCCGGUGUAGCGGUGAAAUGCGUAGAGAUCGGGAUGAAUACCAGUGGCGAAGGCGGCCUUCUGGACUGACACUGACACUGAGGUGCGAAAGCGUGGGUAGCAAACAGGAUUAGAUACCCGAGUAGUC
rnacentral:rRNA from 1 species